UACCAUAUGGCGAUAAAAUAACUUUUAUCUAUUUUCAAAUUGAAAAUUUGCGUCGCAAAAAAAUUUUUUCAUCAGAGGGAAUUAUAAUUAUUAUUUUCCCGAAAAUUGGAAAAAAUACCAUUAGAAAUUCUGCGAAUUCAUUCGGAUAACAACUCAUUAAAAUGUUAUCAAUAUGGAUAUAUCGCAACAUUUUCAAAGUAAUCAGUAGUGAGUGAUAUGCAAUGUUCUAUGCAAAAUACCGUAAAUUCAGUUUUAUGAAAGGCGAGAGCUGAUUGGUUAUGUGCGAAAAACAAAAUAGCCGUUCAGCCCGGAGUAAUUCCAGCGAAGCAGAAAAGGACGACGAAUAUGUAUGAAUUCAGCAACAACGAAUAAUUAGGAAAGUAACGAGAUAACAUCAUAACAAUAAAAGCAAAUCGUCUUAAUCACUAGAGACGAACAAAAAGCGACACAAUAGGGAGCAUUAGCAACUAUUUAUGGGAAGGAUAUCUGAGUCAGCUCACGCUAACGAAUGGGAACUACAAUAGGAUUUCGAACAUAAACAUUUUCAGGAACAUGCACGGAGAAUGUUAACCUUUACAAAUUCAUGGAACGAACCUCACCUCGGAUCGGAUCACACGUGAGCGACUUCUAUGAAGAAAGGAAUAACAACCCUAUUCGGUGCCGAGUAUGCUACGGGAUAAUUUGAAUGUGUGUUUGGAAAUUUUUUACGAUUAUUUUUGCUGGUUUUAUGUGUAUGAGUGUGAGGAACAUUCAAAGACUACCGAAAUGAGACUUUUAGGAAGGCGUAAAAAGGCCAGGGAGGUAUUUUAUCCCCACUUAUUAUAAUGAGCAGCAAAUUAUACUAUAAUUUUUUUGA